GCCUGCUCAGCAGCAGGUGCUGCCCGAAGGGUAGAUGCAGCUGAUUCCUCCUCUACUGUAUUUGGCUGAUGACGUUGGGAACGACCUCUUCCCCUCCCAACCGAUCUAGUGAGAGGUGGGCGUCCGCGUCGAGGAGGCAUUGUAAUCUAUAAAAAAUACGAGCAAGUUUAGGUAACCUUAGGCUCUAUAUGCAGAUGCAUGCAUUCUAUUCAACCUAACUUAACUUAAUCCGGGGCCACACUGAUAUUGUAAUUUUUUAAAACCACUUUAAAACCAAAAACUCUUAUCUUUAAAACCAAAAGCUCUGAUACCAAUAGAAUUGUCACGACCCGGAACCUCCCUCAGGCCCAUGACAAUCGCCGCGACGUCCCGAUUGACACUCAUUAUCCGGAAUGCCAACCGGAACCCCGCAAGGCUUACAUAUCAGUUUCUUUCCUUUCCUGUGAGCAAUCAUUGUUAAAUAUCGAGUUUUUAGAGAAUAUAUACUAUUUUAGAUCAAAAACAAUCAAAAUAAAAUUUUCGCCACACAGGGGUAUUUUGGUCAUUUUUUUCUCAAAAAUUUCGAAACUGGCUAAAACGUAAUAUACAAGUACAAAACACAUAAUUCAUAUUCAAAAUGAGUUUAAAAGUCUAAAAUCUUCAUUUAAAACGAAAUUACGGUUAUUUGAAUAUAAUAAGAAAAUAAAAGAAAUAUUAAGGAAAAUAUUCUAUUUUCUUAUAAAACAAUAUUUAUAGAGUUAUACGUGAAUAAUUUUUAUAGCGUAAAAGCUAAAUAAAUUUAUACAUACUGAAAUACAGUAAGCCAAAAUAUUUAAUUUAAUUUACAAUAACAAGAGGGCCCCCGAAUAAACAAAAGUAAAGAGGACUGUGAACCUACGGUUUGGAAAAUGCAGAUCCAAUGGUAGUCCUCGAUGAGAUCAGCUAUCUACAG
rnacentral:lncRNA from 1 species